GAUGAAGAACGUAGCGAAAUGCGAUAAGUAAUGUGAAUUGCAGAAUCCAGUGAAUCAUCGAAUCUUUGAACGCACAUUGCGCCCGCCAGCAUUCUGGCGGGCAUGCCUGUUCGAGCGUCAUUUCAACCCUCGACCUCCCUUUGGGGAAGUCGGCGUUGGGGACCGGCAGCACACCGCCGGCCCUGAAAUGGAGUGGCGGCCCGUCCGCGGCGACCUCUGCGUAGUAAACCAACUCGCACCGGAACCCCGACGUGGCCACGCCGUAAAACACCCAACUUCUGAACGUUGACCUCGGAUCAGGUAGGAAUACCCGCUGAACUUAAGCAUAUCAAUAAGCGGAGGA
rnacentral:misc_RNA from 1 species